CACUUACAAACCCCCCAUGGACGGCAGAACCUGAAAGCAGAAUUGAAACCAUAGGGAUCGUUGUUGGUGCAGCAUUGGGAUUGGUUGUGGCUGUAGCUGUGGCUGCUGGCAUCACAGCUUGGAUUGCAUUCAAGAGAAGAAAGCGUUCCAGAAGGAGCAAUGAAGGGACAAAAAAAAGAGAAAGGUAAGGCUUUAAGGGAAUUUAAGUGCCUCUCUUUUCAUUUCUGACCCUUCGUGCCUUGUUUUCCCACUCGCUUUGAAACACAAAAGAUGUGGUUAUUCUUUUCAAGUCUUCUUUUUGCUCUUCGAAUGCAUUCUUCUGAAAGACAUAGAAAGGGAACCACUUAACUGCGAAGAAUACUCGUCAAAUUUUAUGAGCAGUCCUUAAGCAUAUAAUGUUUAUAGUAAUCAUGGAACCGUUGUAACAGGCAGUAAUUUAAAUGAAUAAAGGCUGAUAGUUUCGAAAGAAACUGUUUGGGGCUGCGUCGG